UGAGUGCCUCAGCAUCUGUCUUCCUGGACCAAGUUUGAGAGCCUCUACACUGAUGAGCACCAAGGAAAAAAGGUGAAGACCCAGAAGCACUCCAAUUACCUGCUUGUGAGUAAUGAAAUAUAUGUUGUUCUCAUCACCCUUCGUUUGUCAUCAUUUUCUUUACAGAUGUCUGAAAAUGUACAGUAGGCUACACGCCAGCAGGUCUCACCAUAGUCAACAUCAUCAAGGAUUGUCACUCCGACCUGAGAAGAGGCCCCAUAGAGACACGGACAAGGACCAGCCACUGUUGCCAGUGCACAACUGAGGACCCGACCAGCCUGCUGCCAUCUAUGAUAUAUAGUACCCGCGGAGCGGUCUGAAGACGUGGAGUACACUGCAGCAGGUAUCACAUGACCAAGGACUUGGACAACGUCUCUGUUUACAUCUAUAGUGUAUUACACAACUGAAGAUGUGCACAGUACGCUACUGCCUGCAUCCUACCACCACAGAGGAUCCGAUAUGCAGAACCAGCUUCAAAAACCAUUGCAAUUAUGAAACACAGUUAAUAAAUGCUUAUAUACAGCA